ensembl:lncRNA
UGAUAUAAACAGCUUAUAAACCGUUUUAGAGACAGUUUUAUAUGUAAAAAGCAAGGAAAAUUCCUUUGAAGUUUGGUAAUGUGUUGACAGUCUUAAUCUGAUCACUUUAUUAUAGGUGAUCCCUUCAAGAAGUCCUCAUCAGUAUCACCUAAAACUGGAAACCAGUUGCCAACCAAAUUUUUUGUUUUCUUGCAGUGCUGCUUCACAGAUCUGCCUGUUUGUGUUAUAGAAGGAUGCCAGGACCACUCUGUCCUUCAUUACAUGAUGGAGACUCGGUUGCUCUAACAGAAACUCUGAAUCCUGCUGGCUGCUGUAAAGAAAUGAGAAGGAAGUUUCAGUCUUCCAGUUGGAGAGGAGUGACACAGAUGUUUAAGACGCAAGCAGCUUAGAUGUAACACAUUCUUUAAAUUAGGAGAGAAGAACCUUUUUCAUUACAUUCCAAAGAAUUGUGAAAGAUGUGGAAAUCACUGCUUGGAAAACUGUACUUCUACAGGGAGCUGUGUGAAGUCCUACUGAUUCUCACUGCAAUGAAGUACUCAGGACACUUUUUUUGAGCCCACCACUACAGUCAUCACAAAGACAACACUUAGUCCAAGAAGAUUCUAGGCCUUCUUCAGAAGGUGAGAAGUACUAUUAUGGGGCAUAACAUGAGUGGUGAACUUCAGGUGCCAGAACUGCCACAUAGUGAAUGACUGCCAGCUACUGACUGUGCGCAGUCAGGAGCCAGCAGGUAGUAACCACACAUUUAGUUUGCAGUCCUAGCUAUAAAAUGAGGAUUUUGGUCAUUGAUUUUACUGAGCUAAAGCUGAACAUUGUAUUCAUCAUACCUCCUUCCUAUCCAUCAAUCAAGUAUAGGAAAUCAAAAGGAUUUAUACAGAAAGCUCAGCUGAAUGUUCUUCUGUUCUCCCACCAUUUGAAGGAAUUCUUGUGUGUUUGGGUGUGUCCCCUCUUGACAGCUUCAACUACACAGUUCAGGUGAAAGAGAAGUAUAGAAAAGGACUUGUUGCUGAGCAAUAUAGGAAAAUCUCAGGAUGUGCAUUUUCGUAAUGAUAUUGCUACAGAGUAUGGAUUCCUACGGAAACAUGGUCUGCUGGCUUUGUAUAAGGAGCAGAAGUAAAUGUAGCAGUUAAUGGGGGAAAGUUCGCUUGCAAAACAAACUAGUGCAAAACACUUUAAAUCUGUGUGAAUCCCUCCUUUAAAAAGCUGCAUCAAACUUCCGCAUCCCAGGGCACAAUACAGCCCUUGGUCAGUAGCCUAUGAUCCUCUGCAGUUGUGCUCGAUGCAAAAGAG